ensembl:lncRNA
CUCGGCCUUCUCUAUGUCGCAGUAAUAAACUCCUCCGUCUUGUUGCUGAGCUCCCUUUAUGGUGAGGGACAGGUCUGCCCGUCGGUCCCAGUCAGAUGGUAUCGAUACCCGGCUUCUGUUAAAGUCAUCCCCGUAUGUGAUUUCCCCUGUCCGACCAUUCAGCUCCAGCAGUACUUCCCCGUUUCUCCUCCAGCGCGCAGACUUCACCGACUGGCCCGCUGUGACGGAGCGACACGGGAGGAUGGCAUCCCCACCCUCGGAUACAGCAACUUCAGAGGGCACAAAUACCUCCAGCUUGUAAGCUUCCAAGUGUUUCCUGUUGCAGGUAAACUCAUAAUGUCCGUUGUCAUUGAAGUUAGCAUUUGUUAAGAUUAACCAAUCGCGUCCUACGACCACGCGGUCAGUGUAAUCUCGUCCUGGCUUCCAGUAACCAUUUAGAGAUGCGAUGAGCUGAGUGCUGGCAUCAUCCAGCCGCUGAUACAGUGUGCCCUCUCCCUUCCUGCACUCCUCUGAGAGUGGAAACUCCACAUCUGCCCCCACAGUAGUUUGGAUCAGUGCUCCCAACCCCUCACAGAUAAAAAGAAGAAAGAACACAAACACUGAUGAAAGGCUCAUCCUGACGAUCUGACAGUGAAGUGUUUCCGUUAUCAAUCUUCUGCGUUAUCGCGAAGCUCCGUUAGGUUUAGAAACUGAGAGAAAGGCUUGCUACAUGCGCAUGAACUGAUGUGAUGUCAGGGUCCGCCCAACCGGCAUACACCAGCAUUGUAAAUGGCGCUAGCCUAAAUAGAUUUCUGCCCCGUGUAACUGAAGCUGGCAAUAAGACGUAACUACAUGUACAAGGUGCUGAAAUCCAACAAACAUGUUCUGAUCAUCACUUUCUGUUUGGUGGUGCUGUAGCCACAGAACACUCCAGUGUCCAUAACAUUAUUAUAUUGUUCAUAAUAUUUUAUUAUCAUUAAUUUACGUGGGAAAAAUCAAAGUGAGCCAAGUUGUGAAAUGUGUUGGGCAGAAGCUACAUGACAGGAGGCUGUGUGAGAGUGCUGAGCAGUUUAAACAAGUGCUGUGUGGACCUGAGAGGUUUACUGUGAGGUCAAAGGUCAGCUCAGUUUAAUUCUGUUUUUUUAUACAGCCUACAGUGAUGCAGAGAAAACCUCCAACAAUCAGGUUUCCCCCCUAUGAGCAGGCUCUUUGGCAGCAAUGGGAAGGAAGAACCCCCAGCAAGAACCCCAGGCCCGUGGUGGGGAGGCCAUCUGCUGUGUCUGACUGGGGUCAUGGAAGAGUUCCUGCCUUACAUGGAGAAGUUUAAGCUCACGAGUGAGAGGAGAAGGGAGCGUGAGAUCGACAGAUGGAUUAGUGCCGCAACCACAGUGAUGUGGACGCUGUACCUUCGAUUUACCGGUCAAUACGUGGAAGAAAAUGGAUGGAUGGAAGACUGUUUACUACUACACAGGACAUAAAAUUAUUAAUUAGGUUACAAAGUAAUUUGUUUCAGCUAUAUAUGAAAUAAAUAAAAAAGGAAAGAAAAACAUUUUCUGUACUUUUUGUGAUUAUUGUUUAUUUUUUGCUAUUAAAGAUAACUUUUUGUCAUACUUAGUACAACAUAAUUGGAAUAUUAUUCUUUUUUUUUUUUACAUGUAAAUGUUGAUGUGAUUUCAUUUUUCGUACUUAACUUUGGACGGAGCCUCUAUGAUA